UGAUAGUGCUGAUGUCCAACACUAACUGCCCUGAAUGGAGAGAAAGAAAUUAUUUGUAGAGUGAUCCAUCCUUUUGCAUGCCUCAUAAUGGUCUCUUUCCCUUAUCUUUUCAAACAAAAAUAUGACACAAUUUACAUUUUACACCAUUAGUCUUUUAUUACCCCAAACUGGACAAUUUGUGAGUGAAAACAAUAAUUAAGUCAAGGCACAGACAUAAACUGGAAUUGUACCAAGAAACCAAGACAAAUGACAGCUUGCUUUACACUGUGUACAAAUUAACUUCAUGAGGUAGAAUUUUGGCCAAAUAAGAAAAUAAAUCACUGUUAAAGUGUGUCAAUUUAGAAGAUGAAACAAUUAAGUUAUAACGAAUAAUCUAGGGCAAAACAUACGUCGUCUCCUGCUAAAUAUACAUUGAUUUAAUGUCAUCUUACAUGAGAAACCAAAAGGAUAUUUCAGAAAACAAUGAGAGAAAUACGUUUCAACAUGAAAAAGAUGAAAGUCAGAGCUGAAUUUGUCUAAAUGUGUGAACCAUAUUGAGACAGUCCAACCAACUGUAUUCAGAACAUGAUAAAUGGAGGCAUAAAAUGUUGCCUCUUACCCACAGUUAUUAAGAACGAUGAUUGCAAAAAUCAAAUUUAGGCCUCCUAACAAUCGAUAGAGAACAAAUCAUGAAAUACCACUCCUCUUCCCAUAUGAGGUUUUGACAAAUGGAAAAUGAUGUAGAAAGGGAACUGAACACAGAACUGAUUUCUCAAAGGUCUUGUGUUCCUGUGCUCCUUCUAAACU
rnacentral:lncRNA from 1 species